CCUACGGGUGGCUGCAGUGAGGAAUAUUGGUCAAUGGGCGUAAGCCUGAACCAGCCAAGUCGCGUGAGGGAUGAAGGUUCUAUGGAUCGUAAACCUCUUUUAUAUGGGAAUAAAACAGGGUAUGCAUACCCUCUUGUAUGUACCAUAUGAAUAAGGAUCGGCUAACUCCGUGCCAGCAGCCGCGGUAAUACGGAGGAUCCGAGCGUUAUCCGGAUUUAUUGGGUUUAAAGGGAGCGUAGGUGGAUUGUUAAGUCAGUUGUGAAAGUUUGCGGCUCAACCGUAAAAUUGCAGUUGAAACUGGCAGUCUUGAGUACAGUAGAGGUGGGCGGAAUUCGUGGUGUAGCGGUGAAAUGCUUAGAUAUCACGAAGAACUCCGAUUGCGAAGGCAGCUCACUGGACUGCAACUGACACUGAUGCUCGAAAGUGUGGGUAUCAAACAGGAUUAGAUACCCUUGUAGUC
rnacentral:rRNA from 1 species